AUGUGAGUAAGGACAGAAGGUUAGAAGUGAGGGGGUGAGCGGCCAGAGCAGGAGAGAGCAGCGAGGGAACAAAGGAGAAAUGGUUGCCUUGUAGUAUUAGGAGGAUGGUUAAGAGACACCAGAAAAGAUGGCUAAUAAAGAAAUGGCUCUAGUUACACAACAUGGAACUGAGUUCUCUGAAGAUGACAAGAUGCCUGUGUUUGGUCUUUAUCACCGUUGGGUUCCUCGAAGCUUCCAGGUCCACACACCCCCACUCAGGUAGAAGCCCAUGGACUAAGGCUGAGACAUGCUGGGUCACGACAAAUUGGUGCCGAAAUGUGGGACUGAGUAUGGGGGACAGAAGCCAUGGACACCACGAAGAAACGGGCAAAGCAGAGGCUUGGACACUUCGGAGAGAGAGUUGUCUCGGGUGAACUGGUUGGGGAAGAAGCAUGCGCAGGAAAAAGAAGAAAGAAGCGGCCGAAUGUGAUGAUAUUAAAUUCUCCACAAGAAGUCAAACAAACAGAAGCAACGUGUGCUAAGGAAUGAAAGAAACCCAAACAAGCUCAGAGGCAGUUUGGCUCUGCCAGGUGAUUUGAUUGAACUUGGCAUUGUGAAAAGAGGAUUUGAAGAAUACAGCCAUGCCAAGCUAUUGGAUUUCCAGAGAUGAAUUUAGAAGAUUCAAGCCUGGCCAAGAAACACAGGGAGAACCCAUAGCUCUUCUUUUCUAAAAACAUAUUUACUUAUUUUUACUUAUGUGUAUGUGUAUGUUUCUGUGUGAGUUUCUAUACACGACAUGUAUUCAGGUGCCCACCGAGGUCAGUGGAUAUCUGAUUCCAAACCCAGGUUCUCUGAAAGAACAUCAAGUGUUCUUAACUGUUGAGCCAUCUCUCCAGACCCUCCCCCAACCAUUCUUCAGCAUAAAUACUGACCGCCCCACCCAGCAGGAUCCAGAUGGUCCUCUCUGAAAGGAACAUGAAGGAUCGUUCCCCCAUUCCUAUUCAGGAGACUAGACUACAUGGGACAUCUGAUCCCAUGUAGCUCAGCUUAGUUGUCAUGUCCUCCAGGAAGCAUUUCUGACCAAAUGCAUGAGUGCAGUGUGAGAUGAAUGUACUGGAAUUCUGUUAAAUUUCAACAGCCCUCUCCAUUCAAACAUUCAAGUUCAAUAAUAGGGUUCCCUGGUGGGCAAAAUCUAUGAGAGCCGGGAUCUUCUUACAUAACUUUUAGUCACAACAUUCCAAGUGCCUAUAAAUUGCAUGAAAUAGUUUUCAAUAUGUUCUAGGUUAAAAUAAGGGGAAAUUGUUUGAAAAUUGUAGUAGGCUUGUGUCCAUGGUGGAAGCUAAGGUCACAGUAGUGUGUUUCUAAUCCUAUGUCUAUUAAGUGUCCUCACAGUUCCACCCCACUCUCUCACGUGUACUCAGAACUUCAUAAAUUCUCUCUGGCACACACUGAAGAUUGGUUCAAUAAAUUCCUAUUUCUACCCCUUUACUUUUCUUUUGUUCACAGUGUGGAUUGGAGACAUCUGAAGAUGGAAAGACCUCCCAUGCUUGUGGAUUAGUAUUGUCAAAAUUGGAUACUACAAAAAGCAGUCUACAAAUUAUAAUGUCCAUCAAAAUGCCAUUUAAAUUUUAUAUGGAAGCAUAAUGACCCAGGAUGUCUAAAAUUAAUCAUAAAUUUUAGACACAGAAACAAAACUGACACAGAACAUCCAAAACAAUCCUGAACAAUAAAAAACCUGGUAAAAGAAC
ensembl:lncRNA